rnacentral:tRNA from 1 species
UUAAAGAUGGCUGAGUUUAAGCAGAAGAUUGUAGCUCUUUUUACGGGUAUUCCCUCUUUUAA